rnacentral:rRNA from 1 species
CCUACGGGUGGCUGCAGUCGAGAAUCUUCGGCAAUGGGCGCAAGCCUGACCGAGCGACGCCGCGUGCGGGAUGAAGGCCUUCGGGUUGUAAACCGCUGUCGUAGGGGAGGAAGAUCCUGUGAAGAACAGGGUUUGACCGAUCCUAGGAGGAAGGGCCGGCUAAUCUCGUGCCAGCAGCCGCGGUAAUACGAGAGGCCCAAACGAUAUUCGGAAUUACUGGGCUUAAAGAGUUCGUAGGCGGCAUGGAAAGGAAAGCCCUCGGCUCAACCGAGGAAUUGCGCUCUAAACUGUCGUGCUCGAGGAAGCUAGAGGUGAGCGGAACUGAUGGUGGAGCGGUGAAAUGCGUUGAUAUCAUCAGGAACACCGGAGGCGAAGGCGGCUCACUGGGGCUUUUCUGACGCUGAGGAACGAAAGCCAGGGUAGCGAACGGGAUUAGAUACCCUGGUAGUC